GACGAACGCUGGCGGCGUGCCUAAUACAUGCAAGUAGAACGCUGAAGAGAGGAGCUUGCUCUUCUUGGAUGAGUUGCGAACGGGUGAGUAACGCGUAGGCAACCUGCCUUGUAGCGGGGGAUAACUAUUGGAAACGAUAGCUAAUACCGCAUAACAAUGGAUGACACAUGUCAUUUAUUUGAAAGGGGCAAUUGCUCCACUACAAGAUGGACCUGCGUUGUAUUAGCUAGUAGGUGAGGUAAUGGCUCACCUAGGCGACGAUACAUAGCCGACCUGAGAGGGUGAUCGGCCACACUGGGACUGAGACACGGCCCAGACUCCUACGGGAGGCAGCAGUAGGGAAUCUUCGGCAAUGGGGGCAACCCUGACCGAGCAACGCCGCGUGAGUGAAGAAGGUUUUCGGAUCGUAAAGCUCUGCUGUAAGUCAAGAACGGGUGUGAGAGUGGAAAGUUCACACUGUGACGGUAGCUUACCAGAAAGGGACGGCUAACUACGUG
rnacentral:rRNA from 1 species